rnacentral:rRNA from 1 species
UACGGAGGGUGCAAGCGUUAUCCGGAUUUACUGGGUUUAAAGGGUGCGCAGGCGGAUAUGUAAGUCAGUGGUGAAAUCUCUAGGCUUAACCUGGAAAUUGCCGUUGAUACUAUAUAUCUUGAAUGUUGUGGAGGUAAGCAAAAUAUGUCAUGUAGCGGUGAAAUGCUUAGAUAUGGCAUAGAAUACCUAUUGCGAAGGCAGCUUACUACGCAGAUAUUGACGCUCAUGCACGAAAGCGUGGGGAUCAAACAGG